rnacentral:rRNA from 1 species
UACGUAGGGUGCAAGCGUUAAUCGGAAUUACUGGGCGUAAAGCGUGCGCAGGCGGCUUUGCAAGACAGAUGUGAAAUCCCCCGGGCUCAACCUGGGAACUGCAUUUGUGACUGCAUGGCUGGAGUGCGGCAGAGGGGGAUGGAAUUCCGCGUGUAGCAGUGAAAUGCGUAGAUAUGCGGAGGAACACCGAUGGCGAAGGCAAUCCCCUGGGCCUGUACUGACGCUCAUGCACGAAAGCGUGGGAGCAAACAGG